AGCGAACGCUGGCGGCAGGCUUAACACAUGCAAGUCGAACGCCUGUAGCAAUACAGGAGUGGCAGACGGGUGAGUAACGCGUGGGAACGUGCCCUUUGGUUCGGGAUAACCCAGGGAAACUUGGGCUAAUACCGGAUACGUCCCUAACGGGAGAAAGAUUUAUUGCCGAAGGAUCGGCCCGCGUCCGAUUAGCUAGUUGGUGGGGUAAUGGCUCACCAAGGCGACGAUCGGUAGCUGGUCUGAGAGGAUGAUCAGCCACACUGGGACUGAGACACGGCCCAGACUCCUACGGGAGGCAGCAGUGGGGAAUAUUGGACAAUGGGCGCAAGCCUGAUCCAGCCAUGCCGCGUGGGUGAUGAAGGCCCUAGGGUUGUAAAGCCCUUUCGGCGGGGAAGAUAAUGACGGUACCCGCAGAAGAAGCCCCGGCUAACUUCGUGCCAGCAGCCGCCGUAACAC
rnacentral:rRNA from 1 species